GGUAAUUCUAGAGCUAAUACAUGCUAAAAAUCCCGACUUCGGAAGGGUUGUAUUUAUUAGAUUAAAAACCAAUGCCCUUCGGGGCUCUCUGGUGAAUCAUGAUAACUAGUCGAAUCGACAGGCCUUGUGCCGGCGAUGGCUCAUUCAAAUUUCUUCCCUAUCAACUUUCGAUGUUUGGGUAUUGGCCAAACAUGGUGGCAACGGGUAACGGAGGGUUAGGGCUCGACCCCGGAGAAGGAGCCUGAGAAACGGCUACUACAUCCAAGGAAGGCAGCAGGCGCGCAAAUUACCCAAUCCCGACACGGGGAGGUAGUGACAAUAAAUACUGAUACAGGGCUCUUUUGGGUCUUGUAAUCGGAAUGAGUACAAUUUAAAUCCCUUAACGAGGAACAAUUGGAGGGCAAGUCUGGUGCCAGCAGCCGCGGUAAUUCCAGCUCCAAUAGCGUAUAUUAAAGUUGUUGUGGUUAAAAAGCUCGUAGUUGAACCUUGGGCCUGGCUGGCCGGUCCGCCUCACCGCGUGCACUGGUCCGGCCGGGCCUUUCCCUCUGCGGAACCCCAUGCCCUUCACUGGGCGUGGCGGGGAAACAGGACUUUUACUUUGAAAAAAUUAGAGUGCUCAAGGCAGGCCUAUGCUCGAAUACAUUAGCAUGGAAUAAUGAAAUAGGACGUUGCGGUUCUAUUUUGUUGGUUUCUAGGACCGCCGUAAUGAUUAAUAGGGACAGUCGGGGGCAUCAGUAUUCAAUUGUCAGAGGUGAAAUUCUUGGAUUUAUUGAAGACUAACUACUGCGAAAGCAUUUGCCAAGGAUGUUUUCAUUAAUCAGGAACGAAAGUUAGGGGAUCGAAGACGAUCAGAUACCGUCGUAGUCUUAACCAUAAACUAUGCCGACUAGGGAUCGGACGAUGUUAUAUUUUUUGACGCGUUCGGCACCUUAC
rnacentral:rRNA from 1 species